rnacentral:rRNA from 1 species
CGAACGAGUUUUGGUCGAUGAACGGUGCUUGCACUGWGAUUCAACUUAAAACGAGUGGCGGACGGGUGAGUAACUCUGUGGGGAAA